UACGUAGGGGCAAGCGUUGUCCGGAAUCAUUGGGCGUAAAGAGCGUGUAGGCGGCUUGGCAAGUCUGGUGUGAAAUCUUGCGGCUCAACCGCAAGCGGUCACUGGAAACUGCCUCGCUAGAGUCCGGAAGAGGAGAGCGGAAUUCCUGGUGUAGCGGUGGAAUGCGCAGAUAUCAGGAAGAACACCCGUGGCGAAGGCGGCUCUCUGGGACGGUACUGACGCUGAGACGGCGAAAGCGUGGGGAGCGAACAGG
rnacentral:rRNA from 1 species